UACGGAGGGUGCGAGCGUUAUCCGGAAUCACUGGGCGUAAAGGGCGCGUAGGCGGUUUGUUAAGUCUAUUGUCAAAGACCGGGGCUCAACCCCGGAUCGGCAGUGGGUACUGGCAAGCUGGACGGCUGGAGAGGUGAGUGGAAUUACCAGUGUAGCGGUGGAAUGCGUAGAUACUGGUAGGAACACCCAUUGCGAAGGCAGCUCACUGGACAGCACGUGACGCUGAGGCGCGAAAGUGUGGGGAGCAAACCGG
rnacentral:misc_RNA from 1 species